rnacentral:precursor_RNA from 10 species
CGCAGCCCGUGAGGCCAAAUGCUUUGCUAAAGCUGGUAAAAUGGAACCAAAUCAACUGUUCAAUGGAUUUGGUCCCCUUCAACCAGCUGUAGCUGUGCAUUGAUCUCUCAGAUGCACCUU